rnacentral:rRNA from 1 species
UACGAAGGGGGCUAGCGUUGCUCGGAAUCACUGGGCGUAAAGGGUGCGUAGGCGGGUUAUUAAGUCAGAGGUGAAAUCCUGGAGCUCAACUCCAGAACUGCCUUUGAUACUGAUAGUCUUGAGUAUGGGAGAGGUGAGUGGAACUGCGGGUGUAGAGGUGAAAUUCGUAGAUAUUCGCAAGAACACCAGUGGCGAAGGCGGCUCACUGGCCCGGUACUGACGCUGAGGUGCGAAAGCGUGGGGAGCAAACAGG